UACGUAGGCAGCAAGCGUUGUUCGGAGUUACUGGGCGUAAAGGGGUGUGUAGGCGGUUCUCUAAGUCUGGUGUGAAAUCUCCCCGGCUCAACUGGGAGGGUGCGCCGAAAACUGGAGGACUAGAGUGCGGGAUGGGAGAGUGGAAUUCCUGGUGUAGCGGUGAAAUGCGUAGAUAUCAGGAGGACACCUGUGGUGUAGACGGCUCUCUGGACCGCAACUGACGCUGAGACACGAAAGCGUGGGUAGCAAACAGG
rnacentral:rRNA from 1 species